AAAAAAUAUGCAAAUUUCCGGACGUGCGCGAUGGUAACAGGAAGAAUUAAACCAGGCAUAACGUCCAUGAGAAUAAUGUAAAUAAUAAUAUCAUGUUAGCUUAACAUUUUUAUAAGGAAUUGAGGGUAAAUUAAAUACUAAUUUGUACAAAAUUGAUUCCGUGAGCAGGUGCCCCUUAGUAUUAGGAACGAACUCUGGAAUGGAUUAGGGAUGAACA